CACCGCCUCCAGUGCUGCUGCCGCCGCCGCUACCGCCGCCGCCGCCGCCACUGGCCGAGCGGUUUUUUUUCCUUUUUUUUCUUUUUUUCUUUUUUUUUUGGUUUGCCGGAUCCGCCAUAUUGGCGAGGACGGGCAUCCGCGGCUGCGGAAGCUAGUCUCCGCUGCCGCCGGAGCCGCAACCUCUCAGUACCCGGCCCGUCCGGGCCUCAGCCGUGCGGGGCCCCUCCCCGCGUUGCUCCCCUCACAGGCCUCGCGGGAGCCCGCCGCUGCCGCCUCUCUCCCGGGAGGCGGCCGCCCCAGCCCCCGGUGCUCCGGUCGGUGCCGGGAGCAAGGAGCGACCCGCAGCAAAGCGAUCAGGCCCAGAGCCGGUAAAGAGGCGGCGACCAGGGGAAGGUGAAGCCGCCGCUGCAGGAGGAGGAGCAGGAGGAGGUGACGCAGGAGAAACGCACCGUCCGGAGCCCGUCUGAGCUCAGCGAGAACCCCGGCCCGAAGGGAGAAGGGGGAAGAGGGCCGCCGCCGCCGCCGGCUGAGGAGGAGGAGGAGGAGGCGGCCGCGGCCACUGCUGCUGAAGGGCGGGCGCGGCGAGCGGCGAAUUCCGGCGCCCCCUGUGUAGCUCCCUGGUCUUCACGCCCGUAGCCUCUCGACCCACUUUGUCGCCAGUCACCCCCGGGCCUGGGAUGCACCCAGGGUUGCCCUUGCCCUGGGACUGAGUCUUGCAGCUGCCUGCUGCUUCCGCGUGCCCUGGUUGUGAGGAGAAGACGCCUGUGUCGUGCGGUGAGUAGCUAGCCGCGCCGGGCCAACAGCUGGAUGUAAGUGAGGGGAGGAGGCCGAGGGGGGUGUGAGAGCCCAAUGUUUCUUCCUCGGCCGGCGGCUGGCCGGGCCGGGGCCUUUCCGGUUCCCCCUCCUCGGCCCCUGGUUGGGCGAGCGCGCACGGCGCGGGUGGGGGCGCGGGGCUGUGUUGUGUGUCGAGCCGGCGUCCCGGGAGCGUGUCUGUGUGUUUUGGACUGUAAGGGAAAAUGGCUGACGGCUUCGUCCCUCCCCCUCCUCCCCCUUCCAGUCCUGUCUGGGGCCGACCCGACGCUCGGCGAACUCACGGCCGCUCUCCUCCCCAGUCUCGUUCCACUUGACACCAAACGCCAUUACUGAGGUGGAGUGAUUUGGAGCAGCAGAGCUAGGCCUCGGCUACGCCUGGCUAUCAGGCCCGACGACUUGUCCGCCUCCCCCCCACCCUCCCGCGAUAACCGGCAGCUUCUCCUCAGCCCUGUGGCCUGGGAGCCUGGGCCCGGUUAUCGGCCUCCUACACCUCCUUCGCCCCCCUUCAUUUGCUGAAGGCCAAAGCCCCGAAAGAUGUUUUGAUGCAGAAAUCGCCUCCAAGCUAACUUGGACCCACCACCUUUCUAUUUUUAACUGUUUCUGAGAAAAUAUUAGCCUGUGCGAGCUUGUUGAUAAGGACCCUUCAGAUUCGUGUGGUACGAGGCUUCCGGUUCGGUAAAUUGCUUAUUUUUCAUUCAUUGUAAAAUAUUAGGUUAAGUUACGGAGCAGGUGUAUACGUUGUUUUGUAAUCUUUGUAGGGACUUCUGUGGCGACUGGAAUUUACACGGGAAUUUUUUUUAAGACUUCCAAUAGAACUUGCUUAGACUAAGCGUAUUUUUUGAAAGUUCUAUAGGAAUAACGUUAAUUGGAGUUUCCACGGUGCAGUUUACAGGUGUGUGUAAUUUCUUCAGAUUGUCUUUGAAUUUAACUGAGCGAGUUGUAGUUGUAAAUAUUCGUGCCUUAUUUUGAGCCCAGGGAAGGAAAUAUCUGUAGCCUCUUUUCCCUGGAAACUCAUGAGCCUCCUAAAUCUACAUAACGUUUGUAUACCUUCAGUUUUGAGGAAGAAUCUGGGCUGUAUUUAUUGAUUAGGAAACUUUUCAGCUGGUACUUAACCCUGUCUUGGAGCUCAUUAUCUCUACUCUUAGUGAUUAUAUAGUAAGGACUCCUUAACCACGACUAGCUUGAACUAUGACUAGCUUGACUUUCUUAAUCCGUACACUUGAAUUUAAAAAUAGAGACUGCAAACUCCUUUAGAUCUCACUGGUCUGAUUCAGUGGGCUGCCAUUUUGGUUUCAGCAAAUGCCUCUCAAGUUCUUGAAGAUUAAGGUUUAUUGUUCCAGUGUCUGCAUAGAGUGAAAAUCAGAAGUAUUUGGAAUUGGUGUUCCAUGGGUGAACUCAAAAUGUUAUGUUUUGUUUCUUCUGUUUUAAAAAGGCAUUUGGAGUAAUUUUUCCUCCUAACCUGUUUUCCUUUUUUUUUUUUUUUUAUGGACAUUUGACUUGGAAUUUUUAACCUGUUAUCUUCAUGUUCUCAUGCCAUUUCUUCCUUUUGUUUGCUGACCUUUGUAGUUUCUGAGAGGGAAAAUUUCUGGAAGGUUUUAGUAACGGCAAGAACAGGGCAUGUGAGAAUCUAAAUUCUUCAGAAAGUUACUUUGAAGGGCAGAUUUUACCUUUAACCGAAUUACUGUAAUCUCUUGUUGGUGUUCCAUAGUUCUCUUGUUUUAUCGAUGGAAUGUUCAAGUAGGAUUCACUUUGCAUCUUUUUUUCUUCCAGGAUCUUGAAAUAAGUAUUCUGACAUCUCAAGAAGAUGAGGGAUUUCGUGGAUGUCUCUUCAGAGAUAAUUUUUUUUUGACCUGGUAUAAAUAAUGCACCUUACAGUUUUUGAAAAUGGAUGUCGUGACUGCUGGUUAAAUUCUUAGUUGGACAUAAGCAACUAUUCUUUCAGCUUGCUUUUAUUUGAUAAGGUCAACUUUAGUGAAGUUUUUAUGCUUCAGUUACAGAAUUUUAAUAUUGAAACCAAUUUUUGCUUAGGUUAAAGAAAGUUGUCUGAAAUGUAGGGGGCGGUGUCAAAGGAUCAAUCCUCUUGUAAGUCUUUGGGGCAAUUUAGUAAAGGAUCUCAUUCUGUGAUUCUUGAGCUAGUUGGGUUUGUUUUUUGGUGUGUUUUUUUUUUGUUGUUGUUGUUGUUUUUAAUUCUAAAAUAAUGUGAUGGUUUCAUAAUAGCCUGAAUAUUUCCUCCCUUGCUGGUAUGUUUUCUAAAUCUUUAAGUUUUAUUUUUAAAAAUUGAAAAAUAUUUUAGUUUCCCUUUUUUUUGAGCUGUCACGUUUGUUCUUAAAUUCUUUUCUUGGUAUAGGCUCUAACAUUAGUGUUGGAGAAGGGUUAAUGCGUUGACCCUUAACCCUGACUGCGCAUUGGAAUCUCUUAGGGGAGUUUGCGUGGGGGGGGGGGCGGGGGGAAUACGGAUGCCUGAGUUACUCUCUAAGACUGAUUAGGUCUGAUAUGGGUCCUGAGCAAAGAUUUCUUUUAAAACCACUAUGGGUGAUUCUCAUGCAGUUAAGGCUGAAUACUACUGUUAAUACUACUGCUGUCUUACUGGACUUUCAAGCAGAUUUAUAAGAAGAUGGAUUUUUUUCCACAUGUUUUCAAUUACUGCAUAAAUAAUUCUCCAUUAUACAGAUGAGGGAUUGAGGUCUGUCAACCAGUGAUGUUUCAACUAUGGUGCCACAUUACUGAAAUGACACUGAUCAUUAUUUAAAAAAAAAACAAACAUACAGAACUUUGUUUCAUGAACCAGAGUAGCUUUAGACUAAGAUUUUAAUAAAAAUAUGACAAUUAUCUGCAAUUUGGGAAACACUUUGGUUACCCAGCGAGGUGCUAAAAGCUUUGCUGCAAGUAGGUUCUUCCUCUUCCAUAUGUCUCCCAACAUGUUCUGGGUGAUAGUUUAGUUGGUGGGUGUGUUUAUGACUAAAAUAAUGUUAGGCAACAUAACGUUCCUAAAAGAUGUAAAAUCCAGGCAUUUGUCUCCCAGUAAUUUAUUUAAAUCAUCUCAUAAAUGAACAUUUAGUAUUAUGUGAACUAUUAUCUCAGUUUGAAAAUUCUGAAGUUUAUUUAGCUUAGUUUAGAAUCCGUGUAAUUUCAACAAAAAGUUCUGAAAACUGAGGGUUUCAUUUUGCACUUUUGUAGUAUUGCUCAAUAAUUUUAUGGAAUAAAUGAAAUAGCAAUAAACACCUUUAUUUGGUGUUUAUUUCUUUUAAUUCUCUUGGUCCACUGUGUUAAAUUGUGUAUUGAGGCUGCGGGGAAAGCCUGCUAAUGUAGAAUCUAUGAGCUUUCUUAAUGUGGCACAAGAUCUGUCAAAGAUCUUUUUUUUUUUUUUAAGAUUUUAUUUACUCGAGAGAGGCAGACACCUAGGCAGAGAGAGGGAGAAGCAGGCUUUUCACAGGGAGCCCAAUGUGGGACUCUCUGUGGGACUCGAUCCCGAUCACGGCCCUGGAGCCAAAGACAGAUGCUCAACUGCUGAGCCACCCAGGCGUCCUGAGCAAAUGGAUUUUUAAUUCUGUUUCUAGCCACUGUCUAACAAUGAUUUUUCUAACUCAGCUGUGUAUCAGAAUCACCUGUAGAGCUUUUUCAAAAUCCAUUUUCUAAAAAAAAA
rnacentral:lncRNA from 1 species